CUCCUGGCGCAGGGUUGCCUACACCCUUCAGUCUGCGGGGGAAAAGGCCAAGCACCAUAGAAGGAGUCGACCCACCCUUGAAGAGGCCCGUUUGAUCAGCUUUGACCCAAGCACACACCCGUGAGAACGUCACCACCUUCCAGGACGGCAGUCGCUUCCUCUGUCCCCAGAAGUGUCCUUUGCCUCUUUGGGAACGACCUGUCCCAAGCCUGCAGCAGCUGCAGGCCUGCUCUCAGUCACCACAGAUCCAUUUGCAUUUUCUAGAAUUUUACGUAAAUGGUAUCGUGCGCUGUGUACUUUUUUGGUCUGGCUUCUUUCACUCAGCUUUUUGAGUGAAAUGUUUUGAGAUUCCUCCACGUUGUAGUUCGACCCAGUCAUUGGCUCCAUCUUGUCGCCGAGCAGUCGUCCUGGUUUGGGUGAGCCUGUCUGCUCCUCCAUCCCCCACUGGGGGCCACUGGGAGGCUUCUGGUUUGUGAUCCUUACAAACGGAGCUGCUGGAACAGGGUCAGAUCCACCUUCAGAGACACGCGUGUGAGAGGAGGCCACGCUGGAGACACGCGUGUGAGGGGAGGCCACGCUGCAGACACGCGUGUGAGAAGAGGCCGCGUGUGAGAGGAGGCCAUGCUGGAGACACGCGUGUGAGGGGAAGCCGUGCUGCAGAUGCGCGUGUGAGGGGAGGCCGUGCUGCAGACACGCGUGUGAGAGGAAGCUGCGCUGGCCUCCUGUCCCCUCACCCCGGACUCUGUGUGCGCUGCCUUCAUACCUUACAGACCCUCACUAACUACAGGGUUAUUAUUGUUCUCUAGUUAUCUUUUAAAGAGCCUUCAAUAAAAU
ensembl:lncRNA